rfam:Brassica napus, WGS project CCCW01000000 data, contig: 1115
GGAAUAUAAGAACCCGUCUCUUAACUUUUAACUAAAAAGGCUAAGAACUUAUUCUUAAAUAAGAGUUUUAAGAGCCGGUUCUUAACUUUUUUAGUUAAAAUUAAGAGACGGGUUCUUAUAUUCC